rnacentral:lncRNA from 1 species
UACGGAAAUCCAGAGCACAGCUUGAGAAAGGAAAGCCAAGGACAGAACAGAGCCCUGGGGAGGAGCUCGUGGUGGCCAAGCCGAAGGAGGCAGGGAAUUCCGGUGGCCCAGAGCCCUGGCGGAGGCUGCCACUGCGUUGAGCCCGUCACUUUGUUGAGUUUCGCGGUGUCGCUGUGCUUGGAAAGACAAUUUCCUUUUCAGCAGCACUGGUAUGGACUUUGGAUGAUCUUGCCUGCUUCUUCGUUUCUCUCUUUCUCAUGAAAGCCUUUCUCUUCUCGCUGUCACAAAUCUUGAAAGGUCAUACAAAAAGGCAUACGGAAAGAAGCCCAGCGAGAAGAGUUUUCCUGCUGAUGAAGACAGAAAAGGCACUGCAGCAGAUCCUGCUGGGACAGUCCCAGGGAGAGAGCACGAGCGUUGAAACCUGCACCAGCA